UUUGUGUACUGAUUUAUUUCAAGAUAAUAAACACAUUUACAAUUGAACACAAUAUUGUAUUACUUUAAGUAACGUUGUAUCAUUACACAAAAUCUGUAUUAAUACUUACAAAUAUAUAUAUCUCUCUGGUCAUAACAAAUGAUUCAAUUCUGUCACAAGAAUUGCCUCAUACACCAAAAGACAGAGAAUUGGUAUAAACUCCCGAUCCACGUUCCAUACAAUUUAUGAUACCUUAGAAAUGGACUGUGGUGUCGGAUGGGAACUCCAAGUACCUGUGUACCAAAACGGUCUUAUAUUCUCCUUAACAAACAGGAUGAAAAUAGUGGGUAGAGCCACAGGUACAUAAUGUACACGAGAAUCCUGACAAUGUGGUUAUACAGCCACAGGGACAUGAGAAUCCUGACAUAGUGGGUAGAGCCACAGGUACACGAGAAUCCUGACAUUGUGGUUAUACAGCCACAGGGACACGAGAAUCCUGACAUAGUGGGUAGAGCCACAGGGACACGAGAAUCCUGACAAUGUGGUUAUACAGCCACAGGGACACGAGAAUCCUGACAAUGUGGUUAUACAGCCACAGGGACACGAGAAUCCUGACAAUGUGGUUAUACAGCCACAGGGACACGAGAAUCCUGACAUAGUGGGUAGAGCCACAGGGACACGAGAAUCCUGACAAUGUGGUUAUACAGCCACAGGGACACGAGAAUCCUGACAUUGUGGUUAUACAGCCACAGGGACACGAGAAUCCUGACAAUGUACAUUGUAAGUUACACUGAUCUGCUGUAGCCACUUUGUUAGGUUGACUUAACCCCUAAAAGUGUAAUACAUAUUGUCCAAUAUCUCACGUCGCUGUGAGUGUAAUAGUUAUCUCAUAUUCAAUCAUGAUAAUCUGAACAUGGAUGGAGACACAAGUUGUCAAAAAAUAUGCAAAACAAGAGAUUCAAACAAUGAGAUAUGAUAUAAACAAGAGUGGUUCAUAUUAAAUGUAUUAAAGCAACAUAUCUAUUAAGUGAUAAUCACACAUAUAUAACGAUGGCUCCUUUCAAAUACAUGAUCAUGAACAAACGGUAAAAAAAUAUGAAUAUUUUUCAAAAUCAAUUGAAGAUAUAUAUAAUUUACACGAAAAUGACUACCCAUCACCUUGAAUUCACGUGCACAGAUGAAAGGUGUUCUGUUCCUCUUUUUUAACUUCUACAUGUACUGGCUGACCAGGGGACAGGUGUGGCCAUGGUAACAGGUGUGGCCAUGGUAACAAUAUGUACUGGCCUAUCACAGACAAGGACACACAUAAAAACAUGGAUUUACAUAGACAUUGUGUAUAAUUUAAUGUAGAUUGUAUACUAAAAAUAGCACUGACAGAGAGAAAAAUGAUUGUCAAUGGUUUGAAGAAAAGAAAAAAUGUAUGUUUCUAUAUUUUUCUUUAGUUCAAGGGAGGAAUCUAAAAUCAAAUGAAAAUCAUGAUGUAUAAUAAUUAACACUUUGUAAGUUUUAGAAAGUAUCAUUUUGUACUUGCAAAUUAAGGUAACUACACUGUACAAUAUAAGAUUGGAGGUCCUCGGUCCCAGUCUGGUCAAUUCCUGUCAUAUUCUACAUCGUGUUAUCAGUAGGAAUCCCUCCUUACCAUUUACACCAAUGAGGCCAAGAACAUAGGUUUAUGUUUUUCUUUUAAAGACUGAACUUCGAUAAAUAGACAGCCUAAUAAAAAAAUAAAUGAAACUGUUACACUUCACAAAUAAAACAUUGUAAUGUAUUCAGAGUAAUUUUAACCCUAAAUUGGGGUAAUUUUAUAACAGUAAUUUUCAUGCCAGUGUUAAGUUAACAAUUUGCAGUGUAUAUGUCACCUCAUACACAUUCUAACACCACGUUGAACGUUCAAUUAAAAAUACAGAAAAAAAUCAAUCUUGAAAAGAAACGAGUUUCAUGGGCCUUAACCAUCAUGUGGGUUCUAAAAUACAUUUGACAUUAGUAAAACCACAAAAAAACACCAUUUAUUAACAAUAAUAAAUGCAAAUAUUUUCAUCCAAAUCGACCAAAGUCAUUUAAUUAGACAAUCAUUAUGGACCAAAUCCAAAAUGGCGAUGUGCAUUUCAGCUUAUUGCACAAGUCGAUAAAUCAGGUUAAAAGCUCCCACAAAUAGGCAACCCAAUUAUGCGAAAUGCAUUGUAAUGACAAUUGAUUGUUUUGUUUUUAAAUUAAUUAUUUAACAUAUUUGACCCAUGUGACCUUGAAGAUAGGACAAGGUCAUUCAUCCAAGCAUGUUUCUGACUCAAAAUCAUGACCCUAAGCCUCUUGGUUAUUUAGAAGACAAAAAUAUAAAUUGUUGACAAUGCAGGACAGACAAUGUACAACACUGGCAGAAGGCAAUAACAAUAGGUACUUUAGACUUUAAAAUUGUCUCUGGUGACCUAAAAAUGACAAUGUGUGAUAGUAGGGUUACGGGAAAUCCCUUCUGUAGAAUAAAUCACAAAGAUUGUAUACAGUUUAUCCCAUAACAUAUAGUUAGUAAGGUUGGUAACCAUGGUAACACAUAGUAAGGUUGGUAACCAUGGUAACACAUAGUAAGGUUGGUAACCAUGGUAACACAUAGUAAGGUUGGUAACCAUUGUAUGUAUUCUCUUUACAUUUUCUCCAUUAGCAAGCUUUUUCAUACCAACGAGAAGAUUUUCCUCUCUAAUCAAGAGAUACUGUCAGUGUGACAAAGAAAACACAUAGAACAUCUAGAAAUUUGGGGAAAUGAUAGUAGAACAUUACAAACAUUUAUUUUCAAGUGACAUUAAAGGUUGAGAGGUGUGGAGAAAAAGAAACUGAAUCUAAAGGGAGGAAUAGAGGCACU